rnacentral:rRNA from 1 species
CCUACGGGUGGCAGCAGUGGGGAAUAUUGCACAAUGGGGGAAACCCUGAUGCAGCGACGCCGCGUGAAGGAAGAAGUAUUUCGGUAUGUAAACUUCUAUCAGCAGGGAAGAAAAUGACGGUACCUGACUAAGAAGCCCCGGCUAACUACGUGCCAGCAGCCGCGGUAAUACGUAGGGGGCAAGCGUUAUCCGGAUUUACUGGGUGUAAAGGGAGCGUAGGCGGUUUAGCAAGUCAGAAGUGAAAGCCCGGGGCUCAACUCCGGGACUGCUUUUGAAACUGUUGAACUAGAGUGCAGGAGAGGUAAGUGGAAUUCCUAGUGUAGCGGUGAAAUGCGUAGAUAUUAGGAGGAACACCAGUGGCGAAGGCGGCUUACUGGACUGUAAAUGACGCUGAGGCUCGAAAGCGUGGGGAGCAAACAGGAUUAGAUACCCGGGUAGUC